AUCAUUUGUGAGUUUUGUGUGCAACAAUUUCAUUUUGGAUAGUUUUGGAUUUGAUCCAGAUCAUGAUGGCCAUGAUGCAUAAUGGUUAAGGGUUAGAUAGUGAUCAAUUAUCACCAUGCCAUUUAAGAACAAAAGUGGAUAGUCGAACUGACAUAAAUGUUGGAUAUGAUGGGAGAGCUUUUCAGCAAGGUCCUAAUAAUAAUUAUACAUGUUUUUAUAAUUUACUUUUUGAUCUGGAGUUGUUCAUCAGUGUCCAUGAUUUCAAGUGCCAGACAGCAUGUACCAUUACACGUAUUCAAAGCUUGGUGUAGGUUCACUUACUACCUAGUGAGCCUCUUUUUUUUUUUUUUUUGAUACAAGCGGACACUUACACCAUUCUAGUGUGCGACCUAUUGAGCCUUCUUACUAAAACGUUAUUAAACAAAAAGGGCUUGUUCGAAUUUUUUUAUUACUUUUAUGGUUUAAGCGCAACGCAAUGCAUGCCGGCACACUGUGCCACUGGAACUUAAUUCCAUGGGCAUGCCCAUGGCCAACCUAUCUAUGAGAUAGAAUAAGAUGGAUGAAAACCUCAAAUAAUCUAGAUGCUUAUCUCUCUUCCUAUCUAGCUUAUCUCUCUCCCUCUUUAUCUUCAUCUCUCUUGGGUUCUUUUUUUGGUCACAUCUCUGUUGGCUUAUUUGUGGGAUCAAAAAGUAGCUAGGGUGGCUGGUCGCACCCUUAUAAGAUUAGUGGCUGGUCCACCCUAGUGUGGAUGCUCCUAUUCUCCUCCUAUGGGAGAAAACAGAAGAAAAAAUAGGACUAGAGGGAGGG
rnacentral:lncRNA from 1 species